ensembl:lncRNA
ACCCCAAAUCAACAGCACAGAGCUGAGCACGCCUGAGGCACCUCAUCCUUCCGUACUACUCCAGCAUUACAAAAGGCUCUGGCAUUGGUAACAAGGUCAGAUUUAUUUCCACUCCACUGUCUGUGAGACACAGCAGUGCUCUCAUUCAGGUCACAGCCUUAACCCCCAGCAGCCCAUCCUCCUGUGGCUGCCCGCAUCCAGCAGGGCUGGGAAAAAAAGCGAGGGUUUUGUUAGAGGAGGCCCUUCGAUCUACGGCUGGAAGAGUUCUUGCAGUACAGAAAGGAAAAACAGCCCCGUGAUCUGCUGUAACUACAGGCAUUGCACAACCAGCCCUGUUUUAUUUUUGGCGUUACAUGUGGCAGGAAAGCAUGACUUAUCCUCCUGGAGUUUUACAGGGCAGAUUCUUUUGCAUUUCAAGUAUCCAAUUUUUUCCUAUGCAGACACAGCCCAAAGCUCCCCAGGUCCUCUCAGCCUGCUUGGGGGUGGCAGGGUGGGAGCUCCCAGCAACUUGUCCAUCAUUUACCCAUUACAGUUAAGGGGCAGGGGUGAGCCCAAGUGAGCACUUUACAGAAGCUUGUCCUUACUAAAUCAGGACUUUUCACAUUGCUUAGGUCUUUAAAUGCAUCCAGGCCCACAUGGGCUCACCUUGACUUGCCCUGUACCCAGGGGAGAGCAUACAGCUUCCUCCUCUGCAGGACCAGAGGCAGCCUGUUUGGGAACUAAGGUGAUACGUUGGGUAUUGACUAAGAGGAGGAAAAAGAGCUGCUUCUGCCCAGGCAGAGCUGUGCCAUGAACCUCAGAGCCUCUCCCUGGGGCCGUACAGCCCCACAGUGGAUCAGUGAGGGCAGCUCCCAUAGCUCCCAUCCCAACGCAUGGCCCACAUUGCUCCAUAGAUAACACAGGGAGACCAAAGGCACUCAAAAUAACAAACACUGCCCAGUGAUGGGCAGCACAUGGACGCUGGGGAUAAUGUUCCUCUUAUCUCUUUUUUGUUGCUCCUCAAAACAGUGUACUUUGAGCGUGGGUGUCUGCCAGCAGCACCAGGACCCCGGCACAAAGCUGCAUGCACUCAGCCUGGGCCAUCCAUCAGCCCUUAUGCAGUGCUGGAAAGCACAGAGGAUGCAGGGAGAGGUGGAGUGGGACACCGUGUGGAGAACAGAACAGCAACAAACACAACUUUGCUGUUAGGGGAAGGGGCUGAUCCUCCUCUCCACCCUCCUGGUCUUUGUUCUCUCUGAAUGCUGAGGCCUCAGGUAAAUGCUGCUGCAUGAGCACAUCCCUCAGCAGCCUCCAGCUUUUCCUUGUGCAAUGGCUGAGCAGAACAGUGCCAGCAAUCAGGAAGAAAGCUUUGGCUGCUCCAUGCAACAAAGUGCUUUUAAACUGGGGUGGGGAGAGGCCAGAAAGCAACUAGAGGCCAGAAAGCAUCUCCCUGGUGCUUGCUGGCAUCAUCCUGACACUCCCACAGAGCACCAUAACCCCACUGAAGGCAGCUAUCACCUUAAAGUCAAGCAGAGAGCUCAGACUAAGGUGACAAUAUCCAGCUGCACAUCACCCUUGGUGGGACAGAGUGACAAAGGCUCGGUGCAGCAGUGCCUGAGGCCUGCUUUGACUUGAGAAGCUCUUGAAAUGGUGGCUGAGCAGGCAGGCUGGUCGUGGGCUCCUCCUGGUGCCUGGAGCAGAGGGUCAGGACUGCUCCCAUCACCGACGUGGGCAGGACCCCAUCCCCUCCCGGUCAGCGUUCUGUCCCUGCUGAACUGCAGCUCUCUGCUUCCUCUCUG